UUAUGUUAUAGGCUUCGUGUCCGUCUGUCUGUCCAGUUAUCAAACUUUGUCAGCUGAUACAUCUUGGGUAGAGGGUGUGUCGCGCACAAAAAGUAGGUCGCUCUGACCUAUAAUUAAAAAGUUAUAGCCAAAUAUGGAAAAAUCCUGUCCGGUCCAUAACUAGAAAACUAUUAGACUUAGAAUCAUCAAACUUGGCCAGUUUAUGCAUCUUAGGUAGAAGGUGUGUCGCGACCUAUUUCAAGGUCACUGUGACCUUUAAUUUAAGUGGAAUUUUAAAAAAAAAAUGUUUUUUUUUCUAUUCAUUUACACAUUCAAAAAAAUGUAAAACUAUUGCACUAACCUUAUUAGAAAAAUGUUAAAUUAAGAAAAUACUUAUUUUUUUAGCAUAUACUUGACAGCAAUCUAUAACAAAUAUAAUGUAUGUUAGAGAAAUUCCACCACUCCCAUGAGUCUAAUUAUCAAGCACUGGUCAAGAAGAAUUUUGAUAACAGAAAAUUGCAUGUCAAAUUAGAGAGAGAAAUUAAUGAGUUUAGUGAGAGGAGUAGCUGUAAGAGCAUCGGUGCUAGCUAUAUCCCUUGAGUAUUUGGCCAAAUGGGUAAGCCUGUUGGAUUAAAAAUAGCUCUUGUUGGCUAUCUGAAGUUUUAAAAUGAAUUUGAUGAGAAGUAAUUAAAACAAAUUUGAUAUUGCAUAUUAAACUAUUUUGAUAUUACAUAAUAUUAUGAACUUAAAAAUUAAUUUUAUGGGGGUAGGGGUGGAAUCUGCAUGUCCAUAUGAAUUGCAUAUUAACAAUUAACUGUCUGACAUUAAAUCUAAAAAAAAAAAUUAUUGAUGUUUUAUAUGUUUUAAAAAUGUUUUAUGGUAGAUAGUGCAGAUCCAAUAAUCUUUUGGGAGUAAUGAGUAGACAAGCAUCCAGUUAAAGAUUAAUUAAUGUGUUCAAUGUAGGAAGGCUAGCUGCAUGUCUCUUUCAUUUCUUCAGAGCAUGGUCUUAUCUGUAUCCUUUGGGAAUUAGACAGAAGAACUGUUGGUCAGUUUAUAUUUGAUGGCCAGCCUUUUAUUAGGUAUAGAUUAAGUUGUGAAGACUAAUUUGAUAUUGUUUAAUAUGAUAGGCAUUUGGCAAGGAAUAGAAAUCUAUGAAUGAUGCAAUAUUUGUUAUAAUUAAUGUCUACACCACAGGAGAUGGAUAAACAAAUUUUUUAAGGUGUGUAAAAAUCAUUGAAAUCUUAAAAUCAAGGUUGACAUGAUUUUCCUGCACUUUUAACUGUUUAAGAUACAUUGUAAUUGUAAUUUUUUGACGGGCGUAUCAUGCUGUGGCGUGACACUUU